GGUGGGGUAGCUCAAUGGAACAAGAGCGGGUGCCUACGAAGCAUCAGGUUGCGGGUUCGCCUCCCGCCCUCAUCA
rnacentral:tRNA from 1 species